rfam:Triticum aestivum genome assembly, contig: Triticum_aestivum_CS42_TGACv1_scaffold_223172_3B
UUCAUACUCCCUCCGUCCGAAAAUACUUGUCAUCAAAAUGGAUAGAAAGGGACGUAUCUAGAACUAAAAUACAUCUAGAUACAUCCUUUUUUAUUAAUUUUGAUGACAAGUAUUUCCGGACGGAGGGAGUAACUA